CACUGCAGAGAGAAGACACAAAACGGGUUAAACAAAACAGCAGGUCAUCACACAACACUGUUGUCUGUCAACAUUGGUCCAGUCUUCACUGAGAGCUGCGAGGUCAAGAAUGUGGGGACUUUUCUCCCGAGUGCAGAGCGGUCGGGCCAGAGCUCCGGGGCUCAGAAGCAUUACAGACUUUCUAGUGCUAUUGGAAGGAAAUGAUGAGUGCAGAAACAUUUGACCCAUGUCAAGGAGAGACCAAAAUAUCCAGAAGAGCAUAAAAAGGAGUUUGGUCUUCUUUUACUUGUACUUUUGGUUUUUCUUUAACCCAUUUUCUACAUGGACGCAGAUCUGUGUUUGAAUGAAGCAGCCAAUCACAUCCGCUUCAAAGCACAAUAUUAAUGACUGUGUUUUUGAGCUGGGACAGACCGAAAUAAAAAGCUCUUAAUUCCCUUUGAGCCAACCAUGAAUCACGCAGACAUGCUAUUUAUCAAUGUGUGUGUGUGUGUGUGUUAGAUAAGGAUGGUGUGCAUGAUCUCCCAAGCCUCCCACAGCUCACACAUCAUUCAGAGGAUGACAAAGUGGGACGCUCGUAGAAGCAGCUGCUCAGACAAAUUCCGCACAUAGCGAAGGAGAAAACGAGGCGAGGUUUGAGGAGAGCACAUUCUGCGGCAGAAGAGGACUCCAAGUUCUUCACCGGAGCAGCAGCUUUACGCUGGUUGGAGCUGACGUCACAGCGUAAUGAGGACGCCGUCACCCGCCGCUCUGCCAUUGAGACCAUCACCGUUCUGCUGAGUGCUCAGGAAAUCAAUGUCGCUACAGCACAUCAACAGAGGUAUGGAUUUUAGCCCAGCGAAAACCUGAACUGUAACCAGAUAGAGCUGUUGUUUACAGUUAGUGUGUGCUGUGUAUUUAGCGGUUCAUAAUGACUCAUAUAAAAAGCAUCAGCUUAUAGAUCGGAACAGGUGGAGGAGCAGGUGUGUCUUGAGUAGUAACAUUUGCUGCAACAAAUAGUUAACACUUGCAGUCAUGUCAACUGUAUAUGCUCAAAAUAAAGAUGAUUAAGUCCAUUAAGUACCAUCAUUUGGUCAUGAUGAUCCUUUGUGCCAUGGUGACCCUGAAUGAACUGAUCGUGAACAGAGCAUGAUUGUGUUCAUCUGUAAAUUUAUGUGUUGCACUUCCUUGUCACCUUCCUAAUCAAAAGAACCUGACUGUCUUGUUUGUCUGAGGCAGAGGGACUACUUUUUGUCUGAGCUCAAGCGCUACUGUGAAGUCAUGUCACUGUGAGCAAAUAACCAAAGGAAAACUCCAUCGCACAAAGGGUAAACGGACUUGACAUGUAGUAUUUUCUAGUCUGUGUACGUGUCAUAGUUCACCCAUUCACACACUGAAAGCAGGGGCUGCUGCACAAGGAGCCACCUGCCAAACAGGACUAACCACUGAUCAUCUGCUGGAUGGAGGACCACUGAGCCACAGUUGCCCUGUAAAGAAGGAACUAUUUGUUUUUACCCUCAAACAAGGUUUGACUUAACAUUGAUUAAUGAGCUUUAGAGGUGCUUGUGGCCAGAUUAAAUGGAUCCAGAAAACACUGGCGCUCUGAGGUGUGUCCACACAGGUCUCACCAUCAUGUCCCGAGUUGAGGAGGUGCUCUCCCAGGUCGCAGCCGAACACCCUCUCCCGGAGGAUGCCUCUCUGCUUCAGCUUCUGCUUGGUGGGCCGGGACUUCAUGAAGGUGCGCAAGAAGGUGAUCAGCUUCCCGUGCUUCUUAGACACUGAGGAACAAGGGAGGGGAGGAAGGAAGGACACAUCUUAGACUUCUCACACGGCUGUUUUCCACUUGUGUCUAGCCGACUGGAGUGAAACGCCACACAAGGUACUCAGGCUUGUCCCAUUGUGCAUUUCAGCUUCAUUCUAAUGCAAACUCUUCUUUUAUGAGCAUGUAGUUUCCUUGAGGCGGAGGCUUCGUUUUUAGAAACCACCUCCCAGGCAACUACAAAGGAAUCCCCAACAUCCAAUACCAGUAUCUUCCGCUCGGCUUCCGAGCAGGACAAAAAAAGAUGAAGGAGCAGACCUACUUAGAAAGCAAAACCGCAUUAAUCAGAUACUGUGUCUGGGAAAGGCUCGUAAGCUUCUUAAACUGACAGGUUUAUGGCGGAGUUUGGGGGACAAUGGCGCUGGCUCCACAUCAGAUAUAAAAAAAAAAAAAGAGAGAAAAUCACACACUGGUAAGGUGACAUCAGCUCAGUGUUUUUCCACUCUUGGGAUUUGUGAUUCUGGGAAAAAGAAGAAAUAGACUCUAAUAAGAGUUUAAGCCAUCGAUCUCAAAUCUUAGUAACCCAAACCGUCACAAACGACACGCAAAACGUCACAGCUUGUGGUUUUCUAAAUAUAGCCGUGUGAUUGUUUAAUGCCUUUAUUCGCGCUGCAGAAGUUGGAAAUUUAAACUCUUCCGGGGUAAAAGUAUGCGUCAUUUAUGCAGAUUAUACUUUACAUUCUGUUUAGUGACAGUAAAUUUCUGUUAGCGUGCAAAUCAAUCGAAUAGAAAAUAAAACCCCACCCGGUUUUACCAAGUUGAAUAUUUCCCUAUCCGGUGAAGAAGAGGACCGGACCGAUCAUGUUAACCAUCUCUUUCCCAGCUGAACGGCCCUGUGAAGUUUUCCACUCAGACACCUCUUUGUCUCCGUGUCCUCUCCGUGUCCUCUCGGUGCCUACAGUCUAACAUCAGCUCCUGCCACGAGUCGUCCCUCUUCAAUCCUCUUACACCUCACACACACUUUCAGCGGCAACUGUUCCUAUUACAACUUUGCAGUUUUAUACUUUUGCUGCUGUCCCUCCAGAAUCCCAGAGAGAAAUGGCCAACAGAAGAACGUCCACCCUCAGACAUGGAAGUCAACACAUGGUUCCCUAUCCUAUGACUCUCAGCAGCGCCACAUCUGGAACUUCACUAAAUCUCUGGAGACGGAGCAGGCACAAGUGGAAAACUCACUUUUAUAAUGGUACAUUCCUUUAACUAAUGAAAUCAGUCGCGAUCGCAAUCCUUUCCCUUCCUGUAUGCGUUUCACAGACCUGACAUUACCUGCUGCAAACCUUCCCACACACACACACACACACACGCAAGCAAUUUAAAGAGGAAAGCAUUAAGAAUUCAAUCAGAGUAAAUGCCAAGCUUAAAUCUGCUUUCAUCCAAGUACAACAGAAAGUAGGCCACUGCUUAGCAAAGAAACAAAGCCAGCGGAGGUAAAGAAAGACACCUCUGUGUGUUUGCAAGAUAACAAUAGAACCAUAAAAGUGUGAAGGCGGCGUUUAAAACUCCCAGCAGAUGAUUCACAUACAGAGACCCACAUGGCAGCAUUAAGUAAACACGUGCUGUAACAAAUAUCAUUAUUUACAAACCCCCGAACAGACUCACUGCGAGAGACUCGUGGGCGUUAGAGGCCCAAAGACCAUUAGGUGAAAAUUAAUGAGGCUGCCUGUCUCGCUAGACGUACGCUAUGGAGCUAAGUGGGGGAGGCGCAUUUAAUAGUCUGCCGCGUCCCGUUAGAACGCACACAUCAAGACCAGACUCCCACUAACGAGCUGAUGGGAAAGGAAAGAACCUUUGUAGCUAAAUUCAUUUCGCAGUUUCUCCUUGUUUGGGCACAAUACUGACAAAAAUAUGUAUACGCACUCAUUAAAAUGUCAAUGCUUA